UUUGGAAGGUGGGUAGGAGUCUUUUCUUCUGGCCAGAUCACUUUGGUUCUCUAGGUGAUGAAGGGCUGAAGGCAUUUUAAGCCUUAGCUGCUGUACAAAGGUGUAACGAGAAGAGCGGCCCUCGUACCAAAGUGUUUGCAGUACACAAGAGACUUUGCAGAGCGCCUGUAUGUGGGGGGUGCCUGGCUCCUGUGGACUGUCCUUAGGAAUCAAACCUUGUCUUGAAAAAUGGCCCUUAAAUAGACACGAGGAUGAUUUGACAGCUUGGAUUCACAAUGAGGAAGUCUGCCCAAGGAUGAUCCUGUACUGACUGCAAGGUUGUGGGGUAACAGGCUGGAUCCUGUGUGUUCCUUUCCUGUCUUGGAGGACCCUUGUUAAAGGCACAACAAGAAGCUGGGUGACUGUCAGAUAUCACUUGGAAAACUUUGGAAGAUACCAGCAGGAGUCUUCAUGGCAAAAGGCAAGUGAAGACGAACCUCUUCAGAGAUUAAGCACUACUGCACAGUGUUGCAAAGGAAUAAGGACACAGGAGCAGUAGAGGUGUUGGCUCUUGGAAGUAGGGGAGGAAGAAGUGAAGUCCCGUCCAUGCAGCAGACCUUCCUGUUGCAGGAGGUUGCUGGAGCAGGAGGUAUCAAAUGAGUUUGAAACAGCAUGGGUGACUUUAGGGACAAUAACUUUCAUUAUGGUAGGCCAACUGAGUGUUGUCUGGAUGGAGCUCCUCUGCUGUCAUCCCCUUGGUGUCUGCAACCAUGAGGCUGGCUGCUGCUUCCACUUUCUAGCAUUAAGUGUCUUUAAAUAAGAGGGUAAGGGGUGUGUGUGGGGAGAAACUGAGCCCUGAUGUAAUUUUUCCACCCAUUUCCCUUCCUGGAGAGGCAGCAGGCGUACUGCAAGCUUUCAGAGUGAGCAAAAGAGCAUGGGUGGGAUUUCUAUGUGUUGAAAUUGGCUUGGGCAGUGGAAGAGAAACUCCACCCUUCUGUUUUCUGUAGUGGAUUUUCUUAGCCUUGUUUCCUCAGGCAAUGAGGCUAAUGAAAUUACAGCGCCUUUCUGUCAGCCUCCCUAAUAAUUUUUGGGUCAAUUAGACCAUUUCUCUAGGAUUUCAUAUGGAAAAGAUGUUCCAAAGGAUUUAGGGUGGGUGGGAUAUUUCAUGAGAUGAGUCUCACUCUGGAGGCACUUCUUUCCAAGAAAAAAUUGGACCUCCAAUCUGAACUGGAGACAUGCUGUAGAUGGCAAUGGCUAGACAAGGUGAAUCUUAUGUUCUAGAAGUUCCGUGAAAAGAAAGGGUUUAUUGUUCUCAUUCAGAUUUUUUUUUUUAAAGUAAAAUAAGAGUAAUCAUUUGAAACUUUACAGGACUGUCAGGUUGAUUGGUUUUCAUCAGUCUCCUGAAUUCAUGUGAAUUCACAAUGAAUUCACCUGUCCUACCACAGAGGAGCUGCAGCAGGCUGUAGCACCCUGGUGCAGUGGCAGAGGUCCCCAUGGAUGGGGUUAACAGACAGAGUUGAAAAGAGGCAAAGGUGCAUAUCAGGGCCCUUUCAUUACAGCAGACCGUGGAUUUAUUUGUGCAAUGUUUUUCUGCUGAAUUACUCCACCACCCAAACUGGAGCCACUCAAAGUAGGAGAAAAUGAGCUCUGUCAACGUAUGAGUUUUGUCAUGAGACUACUUGAUGAUUGCAGACUUCGCUCCUUUGGAGAAUAGCACUUCUUGCUGCUGGUAGGGCCUGGUCCUGGAAAAGGGGACAUCCAGAGUGCUGCAUGCCUGAGACUGUCUUCAGCACGUGGACAGGUUCUGUGAUUGCCCUGUUCACUCAUCUCACAAGGCAGCAGUCUGCACCCCCAUAUUGCUCAGGAAAGGAGAUGAGAACCUGUUGAGGCAGGAGCUGCUGCUUUGCCAGGCCCGUGUGCAACAUUUAACGCAAAAGGUACUGCGAGGAAAUUGAGCAAGCAUGGAUAUAAAAUGUGAAUGGAAAGGAUAAAAGAUGGCCUGCCUUCCUGGAAAAUGAAGUCUUCAUUUCAGUACUUAUGUUUUGUCUUCAUCACAACAGUUUCUCAGAUUUGCUUGUGAACUGAGAAAUCAGAGAUCUGCAGAAAAUAACAGCACCAGCUGGCUCUGCUCAAUGCCAGCAGGAUCAUGACAAAACCAAAGGCUGUUCCUGUCUGGCGCUGGCACCUACUGCGCUGAAGUGAGACAGCAAUUCUUCCUGCAUGACAGAAGGCAGGGUCUGGUCCAGCACCCGAAAAGCCCUUGGUGCUGUAGCGUUUGAGUGUCUCUCAAACACUAAUUAAAGGAAUGAAUCCUCCAGACAUCCCAGCCACUGUGCAGAGCUGUCGGCUAUGGUAGAUGAAUGCUGGUUUGACCCAGGGGAUGCUGACGCUGUUCAUUAAACUACUGACUGCAUCCAAGCUUCAGCCCUUGCUUGGAAAUGAUCCGAACUACUGAGACUCCUGCUCUCCCCCGACGCCUUCUUGGAGUGUGCUCGCAAGUCCUUGAGGAGCUGGAUGCUACCAUUGCUGGAGUUUUCCCGUAAAUGCAGCUUGGACUGGAAACCAUGUGGAAAUUCCCAGAACUAGCAGCAGUGGUUUAGAUAUCCCAGAUACCUUUGUGCUGGAGCAGGGAAGGUGUGCUCCUGUACUUACGUGUGUGUCAGGAGAAUUGGGAAAUGCUCUUCUCCUGGUCUUUAGCACUUCUGGGGUGUCUUUACUGAGGGGCAGUGGGAGGAAGUUGGGAAGUUAUGGAGCUGUGGCCUCCAACCCAGGUAAAUGAGUGAUGUGAUAAUGCUGUGGCCCAAGAGUCAGCUGUGUUAAAGCCCUCAUGUUUGAAAUGGGAUCAGCAGACCAGCAACUUGAAGGAGGAAAUCAUAUGUACACCACGACCUGACCAUUGCCUCCUGAAGACCAAUUGAUAUCCUGCCAUCCUUAAAAACUGGUGCAACUUGUAGGAGGGGAAAACCUGAUAGACAUCCAUAAAAUGGGGGCAAACUGACCUCUGGAGAUGCCCCUCUCUGGUCAUUAAUCCAACCGCUUGGACUCCUUACGAGCUGCAGAGAGAAAAGGAGGUGAUGUGAAUCCCACCCAGAGUUUUGAAAGGUAGCUGCUCUGAUUUAAAGCUCCAAGCAACCAAAAGCCUAGGGUGUCUCGAGGUGCAUAGUUUCAGCAGUUAAUUCCCCACAUUGUCAGAAAACUUCCAUUUCAUUUCAGUGCUGAAUUUGCCUCCUUUUGGCUUCUGACUCUUGGAUUUCAUUAUUCAGUCAUCAGCUGGCUGAUUAAAGAGCUGUCUCCUAUCAAAAAUCUCUCUUCUAUGCAGGUACUUGUGGGCUGUGAUCAAGUCACCUCUUAACCUUCUCCUGGAUAAGCUAUUAGCUUGAGAUACUUAUGGCAGGUUUCCCAGACCUCAAACUGUACUUAUAGCUCUUUCCUGAACCGCUUCCAAUUUUCCUUUUUAUUUUUUUCCUCUCCCCAGUGUCUUUUCUGAAAUGGGGACACCAAAAUGCGACAGUGCCUCUGGUCAGGUCUCACAGCUACCAUGACAUGAGUAAAGGAUGUGCCAUCUUCCUUAUCGUACUGGCUUGUUUAUACUCAACGGCUGAUGCUGGGAAUCGUAUUGUCAGUGACCCCAAGAAUGUCUCGGGAUUUGAGACUCUCUGGGAAUGUACUUGCUGAAUGUGACCUACUUUCCUUGUUCCUGGAAUUUCAGCCCGGUAAGAGGAAAGCCAGCCCCUGGUUGGGGCAGACAGGUCUUGAUGAGACCAAGGUUCAGCUCCCUGUCUGCCAGAGGCUCCUGGAGCAAGUCCAGCUGAGUCCUUUGGGGCCUGAUUGCUGGGGUGCUAGCAUGGGUGUAUAGCAUGUGUGGUUCUGAUUUGGGGCAGCCAUGAGCCUGUUGGAGUCCCUUCCAAACCUAUUAGUAUUAAUCUCACCUAUUCCCUUGCUUUCUGCCUGCAUGGAAAGGGUGACUCGGAAUGGCACAGAUGCAAUGGAGUUGUGGCUAAGAAGGCAGUGGGACUGGUUGCAUUAGCUACAGGAACAGGUAUUAAGUGGCAGGAGACAUUUAUUUGCAUAGUUUAGGUGGAGAUUCCAGAGGAAUAAUGCAAUAUCUCUUUUCACUUUUUUUUUGUCAUCUCUAGACUUCAACAGCAAUUAUUUGGUAUUAUUUUACACUGUAUACAUUAGAUCAAGAGCAGAUUCCCUUUUCAGAUCACAGUGAAAGCAUGUGCAUAUGGCAUAACCUCUUCCUGAUUGCAAUUAUUGUGGAAGAGAUCACUUAACUGGUAAUGUAGUUUGUUUUCAAUCAGAGUGGUGUGCAUGCAACAGUGCUCUCAACAGGCAAGUUUAAUGUUGGUGCAGUUGGCUUUCAGUCUUGUUUGUGGUUCUAUAAAAAAAAGAUAGUGUGUGUAUACAUUACAUAUACAUAAAAUGUUAUCUAAUAGUCCAUAGUUGAUAUAUGUAAUUAAUAUGAUGUACUUCUGCAUGUUUGACAAGACUUGUGGUCCAUAAGUCUGUUAAAUAUUAUGAUUUACACUAUGCAUUACUCUGCUCUUCACUCUUACAUAGGGGCUGUGGAACAGUAGGCAGAAGGGAAAAGGCUAUUGUUUAGCAAUUGCUGUCUAGGGGGUAGUUGAGGGAAAUGUAAAUUAUUAUAAUUACAUAUUUAAAUGUUUUCAAGGUUGCCUAAAACCACAGCUUCAGAAGAAUAGAGCUGGGUAAUAAUUCUAGAGAGAGCUAAAUCCAUCCUGAAAAAUACUGUUUUGGAACAGAGUAGAAUUAUUUCAGGUGGAAGUGAGAGAUGGGAGGGGAAAAAACAAAAAAAGUUAAAAUCCCUUCAUCUUUGCUAUGAGCGAGUGGAUUUCUUAGUACAAAAAGAAAACAAACAAAAAAGCAACCCUUACAACAAAACAACAACAAAAACAACACAAACCCCAACCACACCACCACCAAAAUAUACCAAACAAAAAAGAACUUAGCUGUAGCUAAGUCAAGGAGGCAGCGAAGUUGAGCAGAAAGCUCCUGCUUUUGGGCCAGCUGCCCCGUUGCAUGACACCGGGGCACGUGCCCCGCCUCCCUGCUUCGGUCCAGCCAAGCUGGGUGAAGGGAGAUGGGACCUCGUUUGGAGACACCAGAUGUUGCAUCUGGUCCUUGGUUUCCUGGGGCGGGUUUGGCACCUUGAAGCUACCUUGGCCUGAGAUGGGGCGAAUACUUGAGUGAAUCGGACGUGCUGUGUUUACUUCUGCUCAGCAUGUGCCCAGAAACACAUGGACAAGUUGGAGAGAGUUAAGAGGAUCAGAGAUAACUGAAGAGCUGGCGAGGCUCACUUUAAGAGGAAAGAUGUAAAGUACAACAUCUUGCGCUGGAUCAUCUGGGGCCCGUGAUUAAAUGUUAGCUGGAGAGGAGGUCCCAGCUAAAGCUGGGACUUGAUAAUGGUUUAACAAUAGUGAAGAUGUCAACGCCGUGGAGGGUAAUGUAUUGCUUAGCGUGGUCUAAUGAAGUUAUAACGAUGAAGUAAUAGGAUGAGAUGAAGAAGAUUGUUUAGGCCAUCAGUGAAAGCUGUUUGGCUUGGAAUUGUCCUCUGUGUGUGUGUAAGCCACAUUGACUGCAGCUUUUAAUACUAAAAUGGGCAAUAUAAUUAAAGGCAAGAACCCUCAUUAGCUGAAAGAUGGAUGUGGC